rnacentral:rRNA from 1 species
UACGAAGGCAGCAGUGGGGAAUAUUGCACAAUGGGCGCAAGCCUGAUGCAGCCAUGCCGCGUGUAUGAAGAAGGCCUUCGGGUUGUAAAGUACUUUCAGUCGUGAGGAAGGUGUUAAGGUUAAUAACCUUAGCAAUUGACGUUAGCGACAGAAGAAGCACCGGCUAACUCCGUGCCAGCAGCCGCGGUAAUACGGAGGGUGCGAGCGUUAAUCGGAAUUACUGGGCGUAAAGGGCACGCAGGCGGUUAAUUAAGUUGGAUGUGAAAUCCCCGGGCUUAACCUGGGAAUGGCAUUCAAGACUGGUUAGCUAGAGUCUUGUAGAGGGGGUAGAAUUCCAUGUGUAGCGGUGAAAUGCGUAGAGAUGUGGAGGAAUACCGGUGGCGAAAGGCGGCCCCUGGACAAAGACUGACGCUCAUGUGCGAAAGCGUGGGGAGCAAACAGGGAUUAGAUACC